GAUAAUACUGACGCGAUGUCCAGAUUUGGAUGUCUCAUCUCUGAACAAUUGAAACGCCGAAUACUCCAUGAAAGCUUGCCUAGCGGCUUUUGCGCAAUAUUAUAUCUUUGGACGUUUGCACUUCCGCGGCUCUAGACAUGAGCUUCCUUAUAUGAGUGCUAGCGCGCUACAUUGCAGAGAAAGCUUUGAGAAAAUGCUUUGUUGGGAUGAUAGACAAGAAUAAUCAAUCCUCAUUCCAAGGAGUUGUGUAAGUACUAAUUAUGCCAACCUGGGGCAACACUCUAAUGGUUUCUCCACAAAGGAUGCCUCCUGGAGCUCUACUUCUCUCCCACCCCCAACA